GCACAGUUCACUCCAGCUGUUCCUCUCAGCUGCUCAUUACGGGGCUACUGUGUCAUCCCUGAGCUGCUUGUCCACAGAGAUGUCACUAAAUUGAUCUAGCUGGCAGUGAUAAUCUGUGGGAGCGCAUGUGUCCUUAUCGGUUUGUGGGUCCAUUUAAGUCUAAGAGCAGCAUUAGGUUCAGCUGGUGUGCCACCGGGGGCGAGUCACUGGUCUAUAUUUACCAACUUAAGAAUGAAAGAGCAUUGUGUCGUCUGCAUACUUGGCACCAAAAGACACUUUGUGUGCAGGGUCACCUUGUUGCUUCAUCGAGAGACACAAAGGACAGAAGGAAGUGGACUUGAAAAGACGGAGAGGUAGUUCACAGAGCUAGGCCAAUCAGACUGAACAACAUCUUCAGGGUGAGACACAGACAUAAAAGGAAGUGGGGUAUAUCCGUCCUACAUUUCUGAAACCCAUAGGACUUCACCCGUUUGUUUUUGUGAAGAGUGCCAGUUGGGGUAGGUUACUAUGGAAACCAAGAUGGUGAUGCACAGAGAGCAGGAGGAGCAGUCGUCCCAAAUGCGUCAAAGCAUGCAGCUGUCCUCGCAGAAAAAGAAGAGGACGUUCGCUUCCAGUGAUGAUGACAACGCCUCCUACUCCGAUUUCCAUCCCAUCAUACCAGCAGAUCUGAUGUCUGUUAAAGAGAUCCUCAACAUAAGCAACUUCCCUCGCCAUAGGACUUGGUAAGGCACAACACAACUGUGACAAAUACUUUUGUCAGCCGGAAGGAAGCUGCACAUGCAACCUGCAAACACACGUUAGCUUAUUUUUUAUUAUAUUAACACUUCUAAAGGGUUGUGCUAUAU
rnacentral:lncRNA from 1 species